rnacentral:lncRNA from 1 species
GCGAAUAUUAUAGGAAUAUAUUAUAGGAACAACUGCCCGAGUGUUAGGUAAACAUGAUCAAUAUAAUAACUGAAUCGAUCCGUCUGGUGCCAUGGACUUGCAGUCCUCUUUCCGAUAAAUAGCUAGUUAGAAGACCAUAACAGAAUUUGCUAGUCUAACAAGCUAGCUACCGAUAACGAGUUAGCCUAGCUACGUUUAGGAAGUGAGAGCACAGCACAUGACUGAGAGCAAAACGUUGAGCACACUAGUUAGUCCAUAAAAAAACAGCCAUGUAUAAUAUUUAUUCACUUAGCUAGCUAGUCUGCUAAAAAAAAUACGAAUUACGAUUGCAACCACAAUUUGAGCUGGUGUCCUUUUGGCAUAGCUAGUUACCUUGGAGGUCCAACAACUAGCCCAAUCAUUUCAUUAGCUCAUCCCCCUUUCGCCGUAAAACUACACAUAAGGAUGGUUAUGAUUGAUCUGGGACGCUUCUGGCUCUGUCGUCAUACCAAAACAGUUUGAAUACGCGGUUUGAGACGCUUGCUGAGUAAAACAUAAAACAGCAAAACUACUAGCGUCAUACUCUACAGCUAGCUAUAUUUCACGAAAUCGUAACAUUUGUAAACAAGGCUGUUCUGGCAGCAGAACUUCGAAAUCGGAAACCCGCAAACGCAUUCACAGGGGAAAUAUUUGGCAUAAACAUACGACAGCUUAGCUAACCAUCUAAUGCUAGUUAGUUAACGUCGUUAACCAGAAUUGAACACCUAGCUACGGACCUUCAAAAUGCAAUGUUGUGUUUGGGGGUGCAAGGCCCAAUAUCGGAAAGGAGGAGGGUUAGGGUUUUUCCGAUUCCCUACUGGAGAGAACGAAAUUGCUCAAAAUCAAAGGAAAACUUGGAUAAAAAUGGUGAAGAUUGAAAACCCCGAACCAGAUCUGCCUUCCCGUUUGGGUGGUAAAUUGGUACUCCAAAUGGGAAACGACUGGCACCCUACUACCUCCUCUCGCAUUUGUGGGAGGCACUUUGUUUUAAAAAAACCAAACCUACAUCCGGACCACCCUGACUUUGCCCCAUCCCUCUUCCUUCGCCCAGAGGACGAUGCCUUGAGUCCGAACACAGCUCAGACAGAAGGGAAAAGAAACCUGCAGAGCUAUGACAGGGCAGUGAAGAAGAAGAAGUGCCUUGACCUUAGUGAGGUUGGAGGUGCUGACCUGAGGGACAGUUAUGCUGACACCACAGAAGAAACUGAAGAGCAGGACCUGGGCACCUGUGUAUCGUGUGAGGUCCUGAGGAAGUCCUUAAAUUAUUUGCAGUCCAGGCAUGAUGCUCUGCAAGUCGAAGCUGUCAAUCUCAGGGCGGAGAGAGACUUUUACAAAUAUAACACAUCUCAAUCCUCUCUCUUUGUUGACACCUUUACAGACAGAGACAAUCAAAUGCAUACAGUGAGAGAAGUGCCAAGCAUGGCUAAACCAAAUGGUAUGAACCAACAAUGUACUGGGAUGGUUGAGGAGCCCUGUCUUAUGGAGGUUGAGGGGUUAUGUUCUGUGAAGGUUGAGGAGCUUUGUCCUGUGAAGGUUGAGGGGGACUAUGAUCAAGUGUUGAUUAAGGAAGAGGAACAACAGGUCCAAAUAGAACUUUGUAGCCCCUUGGCUAGUCAGGACAAAGUGACCCAUGUCUCCCAGGAUAAACCUACCCAGCAUAGCAAUAUUAUGAAGGCCACCAGGCGACCAUGUCUGUUAGCUCAGCAUAAACCCAUCCAGAUAGUCAACACAAUGUCACUCACCGGGGUGGUAGCCCCCAGGCCCCCAAGUCAGGUAACCAAGGAUAAACCUAUCCAGCUUGCCAAAACCAACAACCAAUGUUCUGUGAAGGUUGAGGAGUCAUGUUUUGUGAAGGUUGAGGUGGACUAUGAUCAAAUGUCGAUUAAGGAAGCAGAGCAACAGGUCCAAAUAGAAAUCUGUAGCCCCUUGGCUAGUCAAGACAAAGUGACCAAUGUCUCUCGCAGGUUGCCAAUUCAUGUCCCCAAGGAUAAAACUAUCCAGCUUGCCAAAGCCGUAGUAGAAAGCCACCUAAUGACGAACCAUCUGCCUGGCAGCCAAACCACUGCUGAGCCUUUACAGAAGACUCCUCUGUCAGCUCAAACGACACCUGUUGCAGGCAAACAAAUUCAGAGAAGCAUAACACACACAGAGAGGGAUGAGUUGCUUUGGCUGGGCUACAUGAAGUGGAAUGUGCGUCUUCCUGCAAGCACAAUUAGAACCGCACACAAGUUUCAGACGCCUAGGGCAACAGUGCAAUACCUUCUACACGCGGUCUUCUCCCAAUGUGAACUCGCCACCAGCAAUCUCAAGGGCAUUCCUGCACUGGGCCUUAACAAACUGGACCCGGACAAACUUUCUGCCAUAAGACAGUUUGUCACCACCAAGUUUCGUCGUUUAGACAUGCGUCAAUGUGGUAAAGACUGGGUCAAGUGCCGGCGCCAGAUAACCAGCAUGCUCCGGAACAUUCGGAAGGAGGACAGGAAGUCGAGGGGGCUCUCAGGAAACCUUUGUAUGAUAGAGAAGGUGUUAACGGAUCAGAGUUUACCCCGUCAGCCAUCGCCUCCCUCAUUCCCCUCGAUCUCCCAACAGCACACAGCUGCCUUCUACAACCCAACAGAAGAAGAAGAGAUCCUCUGUCUGGAGAGUUAG